rnacentral:rRNA from 1 species
GUGGAUAGUGGCGACGGGUGAGUAACACGUGGGCAAUCUGCCCUUCACUCUGGGACAAGCCCUGGAAACGGGGUCUAAUACCGGAUAACACUCCUGCCCGCAUGGGCGGGGGUUGAAAGCUCCGGCGGUGAAGGAUGAGCCCGCGGCCUAUCAGCUUGUUGGUGGGGUAAUGGCCUACCAAGGCGACGACGGGUAGCCGGCCUGAGAGGGCGACCGGCCACACUGGGACUGAGACACGGCCCAGACUCCUACGGGAGGCAGCAGUGGGGAAUAUUGCACAAUGGGCGAAAGCCUGAUGCAGCGACGCCGCGUGAGGGAUGACGGCCUUCGGGUUGUAAACCUCUUUCAGCAGGGAAGAAGCGAAAGUGACGGUACCUGCAGAAGAAGCGCCGGCUAACUACGUGCCAGCAGCCGCGGUAAUACGUAGGGCGCAAGCGUUGUCCGGAAUUAUUGGGCGUAAAGAGCUCGUAGGCGGCUUGUCACGUCGGAUGUGAAAGCCCGGGGCUUAACCCCGGGUCUGCAUUCGAUACGGGCAGGCUAGAGUGUGGUAGGGGAGAUCGGAAUUCCUGGUGUAGCGGUGAAAUGCGCAGAUAUCAGGAGGAACACCGGUGGCGAAGGCGGAUCUCUGGGCCAUUACUGACGCUGAGGAGCGAAAGCGUGGGGAGCGAACAGGAUUAGAUACCCUGGUAGUCCACGCCGUAAACGUUGGGAACUAGGUGUUGGCGACAUUCCACGUCGUCGUGCCGCAGCUAACGCAUUAAGUUCCCCGCCUGGGGGAGUACGCGCAGGCUAAACUCAAAGGAUUGACGGGGCCGC